rnacentral:rRNA from 1 species
UCGAGAAUCUUCGGCAAUGGACGAAAGUCUGACCGAGCGACGCCGCGUGCGGGAUGAAGGCCCUCGGGUUGUAAACCGCUGUCAGUUGGGAGGAAGGGAGUAUGAAGAAUGCUUCUUGACCGAUCUUCAGAGGAAGGACGGGCUAAGUUCGUGCCAGCAGCCGCGGUAAGACGAACCGUCCAAACGUUAUUCGGUAUCACUGGGCUUAAAGCGUGCGUAGGCGGCCUGGAAGGUGUGAUGUGAAAUCCCACAGCUCAACUGUGGAACUGCAUUGCAAACCACCAGGCUUGAGGAAGACAGGGGUGUUGGGAACUUAUGGUGGAGCGGUGAAAUGCGUUGAUAUCAUAGGGAACACCGGUGGCGAAGGCGCAACACUGGGUCUUUUCUGACGCUGAGGCACGAAAGCUAGGGUAGCGAACGGGAUUAGAUACCCCCGUAGUCC